GUCGUCAGCUCGUGUCGUGAGAUGUUGGGUUAAGUCCCGCAACGAGCGCAACCCUUGUCCAUAGUUACUAACGCGUAGAGGCGAGGACUCUAUGGAGACCGCCGGGGACAACUCGGAGGAAGGUGGGGACGACGUCAAAUCAUCAUGCCCCUUAUGAUCUGGGCUACACACGUGCUACAAUGGCCGAGACAGAGAGGAGCGAAGGCGUGAGCCGGAGCGGAUCUCAAAAAAGCGGUCGAAGUUCGGAUUGUGGGCUGCAACCCGCCCACAUGAAGCCGGAGUUGCUAGUAAUCGCGGAUCAGCAUGCCGCGGUGAAUACGUUCCCGGG
rnacentral:rRNA from 3 species